UGGGGAAUUUUGGACAAUGGGCGAAAGCCUGAUCCAGCAAUGCCGCGUGUGUGAAGAAGGCCUUCGGGUUGUAAAGCACUUUUGUCCGGAAAGAAAUCCUUGGCUCUAAUACAGUCGGGGGAUGACGGUACCGGAAGAAUAAGCACCGGCUAACUACGUGCCAGCAGCCGCGGUAAUACGUAGGGUGCAAGCGUUAAUCGGAAUUACUGGGCGUAAAGCGUGCGCAGGCGGUUUGCUAAGACCGAUGUGAAAUCCCCGGGCUCAACCUGGGAACUGCAUUGGUGACUGGCAGGCUAGAGUAUGGCAGAGGGGGGUAGAAUUCCACGUGUAGCAGUGAAAUGCGUAGAGAUGUGGAGGAAUACCGAUGGCGAAGGCAGCCCCCUGGGCCAAUACUGACGCUCAUGCACGAAAGCGUGGGGAGCAAACAGGAUUAGAUACCCUGGUAGUCCACGCCCUAAACGAUGUCAACUAGUUGUGGGGAUUCAUUCCUUAGUAACGUAGCUAACGCGUGAAGUUGACCGCCUGGGGAGUACGGUCGCAAGAUUAAAACUUAAAUGAAUUGACGGGGUCAUAGCUGUUUCCU
rnacentral:rRNA from 1 species